UACAGAGGUCCCAAGCGUUGUUCGGAUUCACUGGGCGUAAAGGGUGCGUAGGCGGUCGGGCAAGUCUGAUGUGAAAUCUCACAGCUUAACUGUGAAACUGCAUUGGAUACUAUCCGGCUCGAGGAAUGGAGGGGAGACUGGAAUACUUGGUGUAGCAGUGAAAUGCGCAGAUAUCAAGUGGAACACCAGUGGCGAAGGCGAGUCUCUGGACAUUUCCUGACGCUGAGGCACGAAAGCCAGGGGAGCAAACGGG
rnacentral:rRNA from 1 species